AUGCAAGUCGAGCGGUAAGGCCCCUUCGGGGGUACACGAGCGGCGAACGGGUGAGUAACACGUGAGCAACCUACCCUCAACUUUGGGAUAAGCCUCGGAAACGGGGUCUAAUACCGGAUAAUACUGACCGUCUCAUGGUGGUUGGUUGAAAGUUCUGGCGGUUGGGGAUGGGCUCGCGGCCUAUCAGCUUGUUGGUGGGGUAAUGGCCUACCAAGGCGUCGACGGGUAGCCGGCCUGAGAGGGCGACCGGCCACACUGGGACUGAGACACGGCCCAGACUCCUACGGGAGGCAGCAGUGGGGAAUAUUGCGCAAUGGACGAAAGUCUGACGCAGCAACGCCGCGUGAGGGAUGACGGCCUUCGGGUUGUAAACCUCUUUCAGCAGGGACGAAGCGAGAGUGACGGUACCUGCAGAAGAAGGACCGGCCAACUACGUGCCAGCAGCCGCGGUAAUACGUAGGGUCCGAGCGUUGUCCGGAAUUAUUGGGCGUAAAGGGCUCGUAGGCGGUUCGUCACGUCGGGAGUGAAAACUCGGGGCUUAACCCCGAGCCUGCUUCCGAUACGGGCAGACUAGAGGUAGGCAGGGGAGAGCGGAACUCCUGGUGUAGCGGUGGAAUGCGCAGAUAUCAGGAAGAACACCGGUGGCGAAGGCGGCUCUCUGGGCCUUACCUGACGCUGAGGAGCGAAAGCGUGGGUAGCGAACAGGAUUAGAUACCCUGGUAGUCCACGCCGUAAACGUUGGGCGCUAGGUGUGGGGGACAUUCCACGUCCUCCGUGCCGCAGCUAACGCAUUAAGCGCCCCGCCUGGGGAGUACGGCCGCAAGGCUAAAACUCAAAGGAAUUGACGGGGGCCCGCACAAGCGGCGGAGCAUGCGGAUUAAUUCGAUGCAACGCGAAGAACCUUACCUGGGUUUGACAUAUAGGGAAAUCUCGCAGAGAUGCGGGGUCCGUAAGGGUCCUAUACAGGUGGUGCAUGGCUGUCGUCAGCUCGUGUCGUGAGAUGUUGGGUUAAGUCCCGCAACGAGCGCAACCCUCGUCCUAUGUUGCCAGCACGUCCUUCGGGAUGGUGGGGACUCAUAGGAGACUGCCGGGGUCAACUCGGAGGAAGGUGGGGAUGACGUCAAGUCAUCAUGCCCCUUAUGUCCAGGGCUUCACGCAUGCUACAAUGGCCGGUACAAAGGGCUGCGAAACUGUAAGGUGGAGCGAAUCCCAAAAAGCCGGUCUCAGUUCGGAUUGGGGUCUGCAACUCGACCCCAUGAAGUCGGAGUCGCUAGUAAUCGCAGAUCAGCAACGCUGCGGUGAAUACGUUCCCGGGCCUUGUACACACCGCCCGUCACGUCAUGAAAGUCGGCAACACCCGAAGCCGGUGGCCUAACCCUUGUGGAGGGAGCCGUCGAAGGUGGGGCUGGUG
rnacentral:rRNA from 1 species